rnacentral:rRNA from 1 species
GACGAACGCUGGCGGCGUGCUUAACACAUGCAAGUCGAACGGAAAGGCCCUGCUUUUGUGGGGUGCUCGAGUGGCGAACGGGUGAGUAACACGUGAGUAACCUGCCCUUGACUUUGGGAUAACUUCAGGAAACUGGGGCUAAUACCGGAUAGGAGCUCCUGCUGCAUGGUGGGGGUUGGAAAGUUUCGGCGGUUGGGGAUGGACUCGCGGCUUAUCAGCUUGUUGGUGGGGUAGUGGCUUACCAAGGCUUUGACGGGUAGCCGGCCUGAGAGGGUGACCGGGGACAUAGGGGGAGAGAGAUGGGCCAGACUCCCCCGGGAGGGGGAAGUGGGGAGAAUAGUGCACUGGGCGGGGAAGUGAUGUAGAGCCGCGGCGCGUGGGAUAAGACGCCCCGGGUGGUAAACAGCGUUUGCGCGUGAGACGGAGCGAGAGAGGGGGUAGUGUAUAGAGAAACAGGCGAUAAACAUG